GACAGAGGGUGCAAACGUUGCUCGGAAUCACUGGGCGUAAAGGGCGUGUAGGCGGGAAGGAAAGUCGGGCGUGAAAUCCCUGGGCUCAACCCAGGAACUGCACUCGAAGCUUCUUUUCUUGAGUGCCGGAGAGGAAAGCGGAAUUCCUGGUGUAGAGGUGAAAUUCGUAGAUAUCAGGAGGAACACCGGUGGCGAAGGCGGUUCUCUGGGCCUUACCUGACGCUGGAGGAGCGAAAGCCGUGGGGAGCGAACAGG
rnacentral:rRNA from 1 species